AGCGAACGCUGGCGGCAGGCCUAAUACAUGCAAGUCGAGCGCACCUUCGGGUGAGCGGCGGACGGGUGAGUAACGCGUGGGAACGUGCCCUUUGGUACGGGAUAACUGAGGGAAACUUCAGCUAAUACCGUAUGUGCCCUACGGGGGAAAGAUUUAUCGCCAUUGGAGCGGCCCGCGUUGGAUUAGGUAGUUGGUGGGGUAAAGGCCCAGCAAGCCGACGAUCCAUAGCUGGUCUGAGAGGAUGAUCAGCCACACUGGGACUGAGACACGGCCCAUACUCCUACGUGAGGCAUCAGUAGGGAAUCUUUCGCAAGGGACGAAAGCCUGACGCAGCCAUGCCGCGUGAAUUAUGAAGGUCUUAGGAUUGUAAAAUUCUUUCACCGGGGAAGAUAAUGACGGUACCCGGAGAAGAAGCCCCGGCUAACUUCGUGCCAGCAGCCGCGGUAAGAC
rnacentral:rRNA from 1 species